rnacentral:rRNA from 1 species
AGUGAACGCUGGCGGUAGGCCUAACACAUGCAAGUCGAACGGCAGCACAGUAAGAGCUUGCUCUUACGGGUGGCGAGUGGCGGACGGGUGAGGAAUACAUCGGAAUCUACUUUUUCGUGGGGGAUAACGUAGGGAAACUUACGCUAAUACCGCAUACGACCUACGGGUGAAAGCAGGAGAUCUUCGGACCUUUGGCGAUUGAGUGAGCCGAUGUCGGAUUAGCUAGUUGGCGGGGUAAAGGCCCACCAAGGCGACGAUCCGUAGCUGGUCUGAGAGGAUGAUCAGCCACACUGGAACUGAGACACGGUCCAGACUCCUACGGGAGGCAGCAGUGGGGAAUAUUGGACAAUGGGCGCAAGCCUGAUCCAGCCAUACCGCGUGGGUGAAGAAGGCCUUCGGGUUGUAAAGCCCUUUUGUUGGGAAAGAAAAGCAGCAGGUUAAUACCCCGCUGUUCUGACGGUACCCAAAGAAUAAGCACCGGCUAACUUCGUG